GCCAGACGCACCCCCGGACCUCAACGCACGAUACCCAUAUGGUGCUGAUGCUGAGGAGUGGAGUAACUAUGAGGCGAGCGAAUCAGGAUACGCGGGGGUGGCGGUCGCAGCGAACCCCAUGUUGCGCCGCAACCAAUACUGGGUGUGACCCGCGACCCCCGCCGUCCCCCACACGCUGCACAACACGCGUACCCUGCCCUCGCAACGCAUGCAGGCGGCAGGAUCCGGACACGAUCAAUACCUUUCUCUGAACCGGGGCCAAUUCCGCCGUCGGCCCGAAUUAGUUCCUACGCCAUUUCUACUCAGUAACUAUGGCGUUAAAAAACAUGUCACAUGUGAAGUAACCGUUUAAUAAAAAUAUAGUCGAAUUUAAUAUAAAUUACAAAUUUAAUUUACCUAUCUAGGAAUUUUUGUUUUAAUAAAACUAUCUUUAUGACACACAUGUUUGUGUCAAUUUAAAUAAAGUUAUCAAAAUAAAACCAUAGACAAUGAUGUUAUUAUUGUUAAUAAUUUGUUAUUUCAAUUGAAUUCGACUAUAUUGUCUAGAUAUGUUUGUAUGGCGAAUCGGUAUUUGUUUGAAACGCAAUAUCAAUAUGAAAUAUCAUUUAUAAGGUGAUUAUUAAAAGCAAUAAUUACGCCUGCUAUUGGGUUGACUUAAGAAUACAAACUUAACACGAUUGUAUGAAUUUUGAAAAAGUGUUGAAAUGUACUUAAUGUUAUUACAAUUUUAAUGGAAUAAUUAAUGUUAAUUGUACUUUUGACAUGAAAAUGAUCCAUUUUAGAAGAAAAUGACGAAAAUUAUGGUCAAUUUUGUUGUUUUUGAAGACCUUUGAUAGAUUGUUUUCGGUGUAAAACGUGUUUGAAGCAAAUGGCCGUAUGUUCCUAGACUGUUGUAGCGCAUGGCAAUCGUAUAAUACUGCCAAUGUGUGAUGUUUGUUAUCUAAGUAAGGAACUUGUAGAGAAAUGUUAGUAUUUAAUGUACUUUUAGAUUUGACAGGUUUAUUCUGAUGCGUUAGUUGCAGAAGGAAAUUGGUCAUAGUGACUGACUUUAUAUUAUUGUCUUUGUUUUAUUUAAGGCGGAUGUAAGGGAUGUCACUAUUAAUAUAAAUGCAGUCGAUAUCCACUGUAAAUUCGUCAACAUUUAGUGAGUUUUUUUUAAUCAAUUGUUGCCAAAUCACGUGCCAAAUAGUUAUACACAUGUUAAAAUAAUUUGUUAGCGAUUUACAAGUGCAGUAAUUUCAUUAUAUUAAUAGAAUAUUUAGUUUUAGAUUUAAGUAAUAAUUUUGUACUGAUAUCGUUUAAUUAUAUUUUAGUGUGUAAGAGUAUUAACGCCAAUUUUUUGUCCCUUUCGUAAAUAAAUAUAGCCCAAAUGGUUGCGUUAUUUAAGUGAAUUAAACUACAAUAAAUACAUUUAUAUUGUAAACUAAAAAAUUGAAAUUAGUUUUGAAUGCUUCUUGUCUAAAAAAACUUCUAUAUCUUGUCUCCCCAUUUUAAUAAAAUCCAUCUACAUGCCCUUCCCUUGGACUUCUCAAUAUUUGCAUCCAUUAUUAACAUAAAAAAACAUUCCAUAAUUAUUAAAAAAAAAACAUGUUUUUACGCCAAAUUUCUUAGUAUCAAUAUAGAUUUACUUAAUUACUUUUGUCAGUUGCUGCACGAUAUAUAAAUAGAUAACUUUCUCUAUAUCUUCUAAUGUAGUCUAUGUUCUCUUUCAUGUAAUUAUUUUACAUGUUUCCUAAACACUUGUUAAAUGUGGACGCAAAUUCUGCCCUAUGUAACUACCAUUUUAUAUACCAAUCACCCUUAGAAACGUAAAGGGUGUCUAAAAUAUCCAUUAUUGAAAAUGUUAAAUUGAUUUUUUUUUUUAGUAAUACCUCUUCCAUCUUUACGAAUUCCAGAAUCUUUUAUAUUCCAUUGUCUAUACACUAAUGUGAGACCAUUCAUUUUAAGUAAUGACAUUUAGAGUCCCUGCACACAAGACAAAAGCACUUUUAUCGGGCGAUAGUUUGGUCAGUUCGGGAUAAGUUAAAUUCAUAUCAAACGAAAUCGGUAAAAUGUGCGCACCAUAUAUGUUUAUACUGAUUAAGUACCCGACUGUCGACCGAUUAAAAAUCUAUAGUCUACAGGAACCAUUACUGUAACGUAGUUUAAGAAUGAAAAUGUACCUGCAAGAUACUGGUUUUAAAGUAUAUUAAACUGAUAGUGUGUGUAUUACAAAAUAUUCAAACUCAUGUAAAACGCAUAUAUUUAGUGUUACUUUGUCUCAAUUGCCUGUAACAUGUGUACAGUCGCGGAAAUUCGCGUUGUUCUACUUUCAGAAAAACUACAAACUCCACCCUUAAACAAAGAAUCAAUUAGGUUAGUAGUUUUCUCAAACAACGGGAUAGUAAUAUAGAACAAUUAGCCGGGUUCAACUGUGUGCGAUGGGUUCAAGGGACUAGAUUUAAAGUUGGAAUACCGCCAAAUUCCCCGACUGUACUUAAACUUUUGUCAAACAAACAACAAUAUGUAUAGUUUGACCGGGAAUAUAAAAACCCUUGCCAUAUUGCGGACAAAUGUGGAAUUAAUUCUUCGAACAUUAUGUGAUAUUUAAAAAAAAAGUGAUAGAAGUGCCUCCAGGGCAGGAUUUUUAUGUUCUGGGUUUGGUUGUACAGCUGUUUCUUCUCACAGUUAUAUAUACAUAAAUAUAGAAUUAUUACUCAUUAUAUUUCUAUACGAACAAAAGCAGUAUUAUAUUCAGAGUUUUGACUGAUUACUACUGUUAUAUACAUUACAUAUUAUAAACAUAUACAUUUACAUAUUGGUAUAUUCAUAUAGUCUAAAAUACAAUCUGUUUGCUAUUUGAUACCACAUUGAUGUUUAGGUACCACGAUUGUAUUGAAACUACAAGCAUAUACAAGCAAAGCAAUGUUAAUGUCAUUUUCCCGCAGUCGGGGGAAAUUAAGCUAAAUAAGAGUGCAAUUGUUAAAAAAUGUAUCGUUAACUUAGGUCAAUAGUCAAGGUAAAUGGAUUUGUGAUAGAUCAUCCAAUAACACAACGUACAAAUAUAUAGCAAUAUUAAAUGAAUGCGAUUUUGAAAUAGUUUAUAGGGUGAUUUUUCUAGUUCUGUUGUUUGAUAAAUUGGACUUAGAAAUAAUAAUUGUGCCUGUAAAUACGACAAAUAUGCGCUUUAUAUUGAUUAGUGGGAACACUGUCGGAGAAUUUCCCUUAAUUACUAAAUGUGAUACUUAUGUUGUUGGAAUAAAAUUGAAAUCAGAUUGCAAAUAAUGAAUGUAAACCUGGGUUCACACAUUACUAAAAAGGAUGUCGCUGUCUCCGUUUUUAUCAUAGGCAGUGAAAGAGAUAGCGAUGUGAACACUAGUUAAAGGCUCAAAAUAUCUGUCCAUUCUCAAUAGAAUUUAUUACUAAAUGAAAAACUGCGACAGUGAUCUGCCUAAUCUUAAUCAUUUAAAUUUAGCAAUAGUGUAAUGUGAAAUAAUUCUGUGAAAGAGAUACAUUUAUAUUUUGUAUUUUUUUCUUGAUAGUGUCAGGGAUCGAUCUAUUCCUGUUAGAUCGCUAAGUAUUGAGAAUGUUCAAUUGUUCUAAGGGUUUAAAAUAUUAGAGGGUGAACAAUAUGACAUCGAGCCGUUUACAACUGAACCCAAUAAUCGAUGUUUAAUCGGAGAUAUCAAUAUUAGAAGCAAAUCGACAAAGUAAGCAAGAACGGUUUCAGCUCGAUUAUUAGGUUCAUCCAUUAAACAGUAACGUAAUAAUGUUAGUCAAACGGGAGUAGCAACUCUUAAGGAUUUUUGCACACGCAAAACCACUAAAUGCAAAUUUUGCCGGUUCCUAUGCUUUGUGUAAGACAAAAGGCUUUCGUAAUUAUAACAUAGAUUGUCAUAUUCGACGGUGAUAAAAACAUUCUAAAUAGGCUACGUUUAUGUGUGAAAUAAGAUUGUCUCCUACUCAAGUGACUUCAAUCUCGGAUAACCGAGAUCUAGUAUACAAAUACAUUUCUCUGGUACAUCGUCCUUAGUUUCCGGAAUAGGCUACGUGUUAUCAGUGUGGAAUUAACUCUGCCGUUUGUUUUUCUAACAUUUCCUGUAGUAGUGAGAUAUCCUCCUUGGAACAUAUAUAAACUUUCUUAAAAAAUCAUAUAAAUAUGCAAUGGAUAUAGUAUUGAAAUUUAAAAUUUAAAUGAAAUAGUCUGAUGAAUACAAAAAUCUGUAAAAUGGUGAUAUUUUUUCACUCACACUGUCGAGACUUGACUCAACACCGUGUACAAUACUGUCUUGUUAAUAAGUAAACUAUAAAUCGUGUGCAAGAACCCUAACAGUUAAAGCUGUCGACAUUACUGCAGAUACGCGUUCGUUGCGAUUGUAAAAUAUGAAUGCAUUUUGUAUUUAGUAUUUGUUUCCUAAGCGCAGAGUCGAUAAUGAUUUGUGUAUUUCUACCAGAUAGAUAUUAUAUGAGUUUUUAAUAAAUAAAAUAAAUUAACUCGCAUUUU